rnacentral:rRNA from 1 species
UGGCGCAAGGGUGCGUAACACGUGGGCAACCUGCCCUGGGGACCGGGAUAGCCCGCCGAAAGGCGGAUUAAUACCGAAUAAGGCUACUGUGAGCAUUCACAGGACGCUAAAGGCGGCGCAAGCUGCCGCUCCGGGAUGGGCCCGCGGCCUAUCAGCUAGUUGGUGGGGUAAUGGCUCACCAAGGCGAUGACGGGUAGCUGGUCUGAGAGGACGACCAGCCACACUGGAACUGAGACACGGUCCAGACACCUACGGGUGGCAGCAGUCGAGAAUUUUUCUCAAUGGGGGCAACCCUGAAGGAGCGACGCCGCGUGGAGGAUGAAGGUUUUCGGAUUGUAAACUCCUGUCAUUGGUGAACAAAGCCCGCGGUUAACUGCCGUUGGGUUUGCUAGUAGCCGAAGAGGAAGGGACGGCUAACUCUGUGCCAGCAGCUGCGGUAAUACAGAGGUCCCGAGCGUUGUUCGGAUUCAUUGGGCGUAAAGGGUGCGUAGGCGGCGAGGCCAGUCUGAUGUGAAAUCCCGGGGCUCAACC